GAUGAACGCUGGCGGCGUGCCUAACACAUGCAAGUCGAGCGGCAGCGAGGUGUGCUUGCACCCUGUCGGCGAGCGGCGGACGGCUGAGUAACGCGUGGGAACGUGCCCCAAAGUUAGGAAUAACUGCCCGAAAGGGUAGCUAAUACCGCAUAUUAUCUUCGGAUCAAAGGAUUUAUCCGCUUUGGGAGCGGCUCGCGUCGGAUUAGGUAGUUGGUGAGGUAAUGGCUCACCAAGCCGAUGAUCCGUAGCUGGUCUGAGAGGAUGACCAGCCAGACUGGAACUGAGACACGGUCCAGACUACUACGGGAGGCAGGAGUGAGGAAUCUUCCACAAUGGGCGAAAGCCUGAUGGAGCAACGCCGGGUGAAGGACGAAGGCCUUAGGGUUGUAAACUGCUUUUAUAAGUGAGGAAUAUGACGGUAACUUAUGAAUAAGAAUCGGCUAACUACGUG
rnacentral:rRNA from 1 species